AGGUAACGGCUUACCAAGGCGACGAUCAGUAGCCGACCUGAGAGGGUGAUCGGCCACAUUGGAACUGAGACACGGUCCAAACUCCUACGGGAGGCAGCAGUGGGGAAUAUUGCACAAUGGGCGAAAGCCUGAUGCAGCAACGCCGCGUGAGCGAUGAAGGCCUUCGGGUCGUAAAGCUCUGUCCUCAAGGAAGAUAAUGACGGUACUUGAGGAGGAAGCCCCGGCUAACUAC
rnacentral:rRNA from 1 species